rnacentral:misc_RNA from 1 species
GCCAAUCUAUCUGGAUGGGAUUCAAGCAAUUAUAGGCUUGAAUCAGAAUUAAGUGAAAGAAUUGUCAACCAAAUUGCAAAGAAAUUGUAUCCUAUCUUCUUUAGCACUUCCACUGAUUUGGUAGGGAUUGAUUCACACAUUGAGCAAAUUCUGUCAUUGUUAAGCAUUGGGACGGUUGAUGUUCGUUUUGUUGGAAUUUGGGGAAUGGGCGGUAUAGGCAAGACAACCAUUGCUGAAGCUCUUAUUUGUCAAAUAUUUGAUCAAUUUGAUGAUUUUUGCUUUUUAAGAAAUAUUAGGGAGAAAUCAAAAAAGCACGAAUUGGUUCAUUUAAGAAAAUGUCUUUUUUCUGAACUUUUACAAGAUGAAAAUCUAAGCAUAGAAAUGCUCCAUGUAAUUCCCACUUUUGCUAUGGAGAGGCUCAGAAGAAAGAGGGUUGUUGUUGUUCUUGAUGAUGUCAAUGAUUCAGAUCAAUUAACUGCUUUAGUUGGAAAUCAUGGAUGGUUUGGCCCAGGAAGUAGAGUCAUUAUAACUAGUAGAGAUAAAGAAGUGCUUAAUGGUAAGGUUGAUGAAAUAUACAAGGUUGAGGGACUAAGGCAUAGUGAAGCUUGUCAACUAUUUAGUUUGAAAGCCUUCAAACAAAAGUAUCCUCCGAAGGAUUUUAUGGAGUUGUCAGAAAGGGUGGUAGAUUAUACCAAAGGUCUUCCAUUGGCUCUUCAUGUGUUGGGUUCCCAUCUAUGUGGAAGGUUUCCAGCAGAAUGGAAAAGUGCAUUGAGCAAAUUAAAUCAAUUUCCUGACUCCAAUAUUCAAAAAAUCUUAAAAAUCAGUUAUGAUGAGCUAGAUCCAGUGGAAAAGGAUAUAUUUCUCGAUAUUGCAUGUU